rnacentral:rRNA from 1 species
GAUGAACGCUGGCGGCGUGCCUAAUACAUGCAAGUCGAGCGAACGGACGAGAAGCUUGCUUCUCUGAUGUUAGCGGCGGACGGGUGAGUAACACGUGGAUAACCUACCUAUAAGACUGGGAUAACUUCGGGAAACCGGAGCUAAUACCGGAUAAUAUUUUGAACCGCAUGGUUCAAAAGUGAAAGACGGUCUUGCUGUCACUUAUAGAUGGAUCCGCGCUGCAUUAGCUAGUUGGUAAGGUAACGGCUUACCAAGGCAACGAUGCAUAGCCGACCUGAGAGGGUGAUCGGCCACACUGGAACUGAGACACGGUCCAGACUCCUACGGGAGGCAGCAGUAGGGAAUCUUCCGCAAUGGGCGAAAGCCUGACGGAGCAACGCCGCGUGAGUGAUGAAGGUCUUCGGAUCGUAAAACUCUGUUAUUAGGGAAGAACAUAUGUGUAAGUAACUGUGCACAUCUUGACGGUACCUAAUCAGAAAGCCACGGCUAACUACGUGCCAGCAGCCGCGGUAAUACGUAGGUGGCAAGCGUUAUCCGGAAUUAUUGGGCGUAAAGCGCGCGUAGGCGGUUUUUUAAGUCUGAUGUGAAAGCCCACGGCUCAACCGUGGAGGGUCAUUGGAAACUGGAAAACUUGAGUGCAGAAGAGGAAAGUGGAAUUCCAUGUGUAGCGGUGAAAUGCGCAGAGAUAUGGAGGAACACCAGUGGCGAAGGCGACUUUCUGGUCUGUAACUGACGCUGAUGUGCGAAAGCGUGGGGAUCAAACAGGAUUAGAUACCCUGGUAGUCCACGCCGUAAACGAUGAGUGCUAAGUGUUAGGGGGUUUCCGCCCCUUAGUGCUGCAGCUAACGCAUUAAGCACUCCGCCUGGGGAGUACGACCGCAAGGUCGAAACUCAAAGGAAUUGACGGGGACCCGCACAAGCGGUGGAGCAUGUGGUUUAAUUCGAAGCAACGCGAAGAACCUUACCAAAUCUUGACAUCCUUUGACAACUCUAGAGAUAGAGCCUUCCCCUUCGGGGGGGGCAAAGUGACAGGUGGUGCAUGGUUGUCGUCAGCUCGUGUCGUGAGAUGUUGGGUUAAGUCCCGCAACGAGCGCAACCCUUAAGCUUAGUUGCCAUCAUUAAGUUGGGCACUCUAAGUUGACUGCCGGUGGCAAACCGGAGGAAGGUGGGGAUGACGUCAAAUCAUCAUGCCCCUUAUGAUUUGGGCUACACACGUGCUACAAUGGACAAUACAAAGGGCAGCGAAACCGCGAGGUCAAGCAAAUCCCAUAAAGUUGUUCUCAGUUCGGAUUGUAGUCUGCAACUCGACUACAUGAAGCUGGAAUCGCUAGUAAUCGUAGAUCAGCAUGCUACGGUGAAUACGUUCCCGGGUCU